rnacentral:rRNA from 1 species
GGCGUGCCUAACACAUGCAAGUCGAACGGAGUUAUUAUUCAGAAGUUCUUCUGGAUGGAAGGAUGAUAACUUAUGGGCGGACGGGUGAGUAACGCGUGGGUAACCUGCCCUUUUGGGGGGAACAACUUCCAGAAAUCGGAGCUAUUCCCGCUUAAUAAUAUAGGAUCCCUUGAUUCUUUUGCGAAAGAUGGCCUCUGAAGAUGCUAUCUCAAAACGAUGGACCCGCGUCUGAUUAUCUCGUUGGAAGGGUGACAGCCUACCAAGGCAGCAAUCAAUAGCCGGCCUGAGAGGGUGAACGGACACAUUGGGACUGAUACUCCGGCCAGACUCCUACGGGAGGCUUGAGUGGGGAAUCUUCCGCUGUGGGCGAAAGCCUGACGGAGCAAUGCCGCGUGAGUGAAGAAGGCCUUCUGGUUGUAAGACUCUGUCCUUAUCCAAGAGAGGUAGGUAUGUGAAUAAUGUACCUCUAGGACGGUACAUACAGGAGGACGCCCCUGCUAACUACUUGCCAGCAUUCCGUGGUAGUACGUGGGGGGCGAGCGUUGUUCGGAAUCACUGGGCGUAAAGGGCGCGUCGGCGGUUUAAUUGGUCUGGGGUGAGAACUGAUGGCUCGACCCUCAGCCUGCCACUGAUACUGUGUGACUUGAGUAUGGAAGAGGAGAACGGAAUUCCUAGUGUAGCGGUGAAAUGAGUAGAUAUUAGGAGGAACACCAGUCGCGAAGGCGAUUGUAUGGGCCAAGACUGACGGUGAGGCGGGAAAGCGUGGGGAGCAAACAGGCUUAGAUACCUUGGUAGUCCAUGCCGUCAACGAUGGAUAGUAGGUGUUAGUAGUUUGUAUGAUACCAGUGCCGGAGCAAACACAACAAGUAUCCUGCCUGGGGAGGACGGUGGCAAGAAUGAAACUCAAAGGAAUAGACGGGGGCCCGCACAACCGGUGGAGCAUGUGGUUUAAUUAGACGCAACGAGAAGAACCUCACCUGAUCUUGACAUCCUGAUGGCCGGGGCUUAAUAGUCCCUUCUUUUCGGUGCAUGGGAGACAGGUGGUGCAUGGCAGUGGUCAGCUCGUGUCGUGUGAUGUGGGGUUAAGUCCCGCAACGAGCGCAACCCUUACUUUUAGUUGCCAGCAGUAAGAUGGGGACUCUAGAGAGACUGCCAGUGACAAACUGGAGGAAGGUGGGGAUGACGUCAAAUCAUCAUGCCCCUUAUGUCUUGGGCCACACACGUGCUACAAUGGUCAGAACCGAGGGAAGGGAAGCCCCGAGGGGGAGCAAAUCCCAGAAAACCGAUCUCAGUUCGGAUUGCAGGCUGCAACCCGCCUGCAUGAAGUCGGAAUCGCUAGUAAUCGCGGGUCAGCAUACCGCGGUGAAUACGUUCCCGGG